CUUCCUCGAUCUGCUGCGGGCAGAUGAAAUGAAUAUGCGCAUCGAUGCCGCCGGCAGUGAGGAUCUUGCCCUCCCCCGCGAUCACCUCAGUCCCCGGCCCGAUAAUGAUAUCCACCCCCGGCUGCACAUCCGGAUUGCCGGCCUUGCCGAUCUUGCCGAUGCGCCCGCCGACGAUGGCGACAUCCGCCUUCACGAUGCCCCAAUGGUCGAUGAUCAGCGCAUUGGUGAUGACGGUAUCCACCGCCCCUUGCGCGUUGGUGAUCUGGGACUGGCCCAUGCCAUCGCGGAU
rnacentral:sRNA from 1 species